AACGAACGCUGGCGGCAGGCCUAACACAUGCAAGUCGAGCGAAGCCUUCGGGCUUAGCGGCGGACGGGUGAGUAACGCGUGGGAACGCGCCCCUUGGUACGGAAUAGCCCCGGGAAACUGGGAGUAAUACCGUAUGUGGUCGAGAGACGAAAGAUUUAUCGCCAAAGGAUCGGCCCGCGUUGGAUUAGGUAGUUGGUGGGGUAAUGGCCUACCAAGCCGACGAUCCAUAGCUGGUUUGAGAGGAUGAUCAGCCACACUGGGACUGAGACACGGCCCAGACUCCUACGGGAGGCAGCAGUGGGGAAUCUUAGACAAUGGGGGAAACCCUGAUCUAGCCAUGCCGCGUGAUCGAUGAAGGCCUUAGGGUUGUAAAGAUCUUUCAGUGGGGAAGAUAAUGACUGUACCCACAGAAGAAGCCCCGGCUAACUCCGUGCCAGCCGCCGCUGUAACAC
rnacentral:rRNA from 1 species